CCUACGGGAGGCAGCAGUGGGGAAUAUUGCACAAUGGGGGAAACCCUGAUGCAGCGACGCCGCGUGAGUGAAGAAGUAACUCGUUGUGUAAAGCUCUUUCAGCAGGGAAGAAAAAGACGGUACCUGAGUAAGAAGCCGCGGCUAACUACGUGCCAGCAGCCGCGGUAAUACGUAGGGGGCAAGCGUUAUCUGGAUUUACUGGGUGUAAAGGGAGCGUAGACGGCAAUGCAAGUCUGGAGUGAAAGGCGGGGGCCCAACCCCCGGACUGCUCUGGAAACUGUACGGCUGGAGUGCAGGAGAGGUAAGCGGAAUUCCUGGUGUAGCGGUGAAAUGCGUAGAUAUUAGGAGGAACACCGGUGGCGAAGGCGGCUUACUGGACUGUAACUGACGUUGAGGCUCGAAAGCGUGGGGAGCAAACAGGAUUAGAUACCCUUGUAGUC
rnacentral:rRNA from 1 species